rnacentral:ncRNA from 1 species
AGCUCUGGAGAAGCUCGCAAAAAAGCGGGGGCCGAAGGUGUAAGGCGCGGGAAACGCGCCGAUCUCUCAGGCAAAGAGACAGAGACG